CUCUGUGUAUUGAAAAAUGAACCGUCUAAAACAAAUAUCUCGAUCCUUCUGACCCUAUAUUAACAUGGGUCAGGAUUUACAAUUGGGCCAAUUCUAACCCGAAUAGGAACAAGCCCAAUACUAAAUACAGAAGCUAGCCCAAAUCUAUUAUACAUACAAUAUAUAGCAAUGUACAAUAGAUAUACACUGAAUAUACAACAGUUUAUGAAUAUUUGUGUUUGGGCUUGGAGGCCAAAUAAUCCUUCAGCUCAACACUCCCCCUCAAGUUGGAGGGGGAGACCACCUUCAACUUGGACAAAAGAUAAUGGUGAGCAGAGCCAGGCAGGGGCUUGGUGAGUACAUCAGCGAGCUUGUGUGAAGUUGACACAUGAGAAAGGGAAAUCAAGCCAUCUGCAAGUUUGGUACGAACAAAAUGACAGUCGACUUCAAUGUGCUUGGUCCGCUCAUGAAACACCGGAUUCUUAGCAAUAUGGAUGGCUGCCUGAUUGUCACAGUAAACAGACAAAGGAAAAGCAACAGAGAUACCAAUAUCAGUGAGUAAACGAGAUAACCAAGAUAACUCAGUAACCACCUUUCUGAGGGCCCUGUAUUCUGUCUCAGCAGAGGACAGGGAGACCACUGGCUGCUUCUUAGACUUCCAACUGACUAAACUGUCACCCAAUUGCAAACAAAAGCCUGUGACAGAUCUGCGAGUGUCAGGGCAAGCAGCCCAGUCACUGUCUGAAAAGGCAGUCACAGUAAAAUUUGGAUUGUCAGAAUAGAACAGCCCCAAAUCCAUAGAACCCAUAAGAUACCUUAGAACAUGCAGAGCAGCAGACGAAUAGAAUAUCCCCAAAUCCAUAGAACCCUUAAGAUACCUUAGAACAUGCAGAGCAGCAGACAUGUGAGGGAUGCUGGGAGCUUUCAAAAACUGACUUAAAUGUUGCACAACAAAACAUAUGUCAAGUCGAAUAUUAGUCCAGAAAGGAGUUUGCCAAUCAAGCUCCUAUAAUGGUCAGGAGAAGGAAAAAGAUCACCAGAGUCAGCAUGCAAUUUAGUAUUGAGGUCCAAAGGACAGACAACAGGAGAGACAGCCAUACAAUCAAACUGAUGCAGCAAAUCAGAAAUAAGCUUGUGCUGAUUAAGAAGAACACCACCAGUAAUGGAGGACACCUCAAUACCCAGAAAAUAGUGCAAAGAACCAAGGUCUUUGAUUCUGAAUUGAUCAUUCAGGAAAGCCUUGAGGGCAGAAAUUUCAGCAACAUCAUCCCCAGUGAUAAUAAUAUCAUCUACAUAGACAGCCAGUCCUUGAGGGCAGAAAUUUCAGCAACAUCUUCCCCAGUGAUAAUAAUAUCAUCUACAUACACAGCCAGGACCACAAGACAUCCAUGUUGACCCUUGACAAAUAAGGAAUAAUCAUUCAUAGAAUGAACAUAACCUUUGGAAUAGAGUGCCUGAGAUAGCUUGGCAUACCAUUGCCUGGAAGCUUGUCUCAGGCCAUAAAGUGACUUCUGUCUGGAAUUGAGGGCAUUAGAUAGCUUGGCAUACCAUUGCCUGGAAGCUUGUCUCAGGCCAUAAAGGGACUUCUGUAAUUUGCAUACAAGAGGGGCAGAGGAAGAAGAACAAGAAGGGACAGAAACACAUAAACCUGGGGGAAGCUUCAUAUAGACCUCCUCAUCAAGAUCACCAUGCAAGAAAGUAUUAUUGACAUCAAGUUGGAAAAGAUCCCAAUGUUUCUUAACAGCCACAGCAAUCAGACACUUAACAGUAGAUAUCUUGACCACAGGAGAGAAUGUUUCAGUGAAGUCAAUGCCUUCAAUUUGAGUAUCACCCAUAAUUACAAGCCUAGCUUUGUAUCUUUCAAUAGUGCCAUCAGCUUUAUAUUUAAUCUUAUAAACCCACUUGCAUCCUAUGGGCUUUUGCUAGAAGGAAGUGGAACAAUGUCCCAAGUAUGGUUGGCAUCCAAAGCCUCAAACUCCUUGCUCAUGGCAUCCUGCCAAGCUGGGACUGAUGCUGCUUGAGAAUAAAAGAGGGGUUCAGAUUCCAAAGGAGAAGAAGAGGAGGAAGAACCAGAAAAGGAAGGCAAGUGACACAUACAAUCAUUGAGAUAAGAGGGAGGAUUAUGUGGUCUGCCAGAUCUUCUGUGUCCAGUAGGGACAACAGAGGAAGGGACAGCUGAGGAAGAGGGAGUGAAAUGAGGAGGAUUAACAACAGAUAGAGGAACAGAAGGAGAGGAAAGGGAGGAUGGGAGUGAUGAAGAGACAGGACUGGAGUCAGAAGGGGAAGAAACAAGAGGGGAAGAACAAAGGGAAGCAGGCAAAGCAAAAUCAGAAUAAGGAAUAUCAGAGGAAGGAACAUGAGGAGGAGGAAAAGUAGUCCAAGCUGGAACAGAGGCAGUUUGAGAAUAAAAGAGGGGUUCAGACUCCAACGGAGAAGAAGAGGAAGUGGAACCAGAAAAGGAAGGCAAGUGACAAACAUAGUCAUUGAGAUAAGAUGGAGGAUUAUGUGGUCUGCCAGAUCUUCUGUGUCCAAUAGGAACAAUAGAAGAAGAAGUAGGGAAAGAAGGAGGAGGAACAGCAGGAAGAGGAAUAGAAGGAGAGGAAAGAGAGGAAGAGAGUGAAGGAGAAGCUGGGCUGGAAGUAGAAGGGGAAGAAACAGGAGGAGAAGGACAAGGGAAAGUAGGCAGGACAAAAUCAGAACAUGGAAUAUCAGAGGAAAGAACAGGAGGAGGAGGAAAAACAAAAGCAGGAGGAGGGACAUAAGAGGCAGAUUGAAAAGGAAAACAGGUUUCAUGAAAGACAACAUUACACAAAAUACUUCUUAGUAGUUAGGUCAUACAGCCUGUAGCCCUUUUUGGCAAAGGGAUAUCCCAGAAAAACACAAGUUAAAGCUCUAGGUUGAAGUUUAUCUCUUUGUGGAAUGGGUACAGUGGCAUAGGCAAGACAACCAAAAGCCCUUAAAUGAGAAUAAGUAGGGGCUUGGCCAUGCAAUACUUCAUAAGGAGACUUAUUGUGAAGAAGUCUGGAGGGAAUCCUAUUAAGCAAGUAGGUGGCAGUCAAUAGGCAGUCCCCCUAAAAAUGAAUAGGUAAAUUGGAUUGAAAAAGUAAAGCUCUACUUGCUUCAAGAAGGGUUCUAUGUUUUCUUUCCACGAUACCAUUUUGUUGAGGAGUAUGAGAACAAGUAGUUUGAUAAAUGAUGCCUUGUUGAUUAAAGAAAGAGACACCAGCAAGACUAGAACCUAAUUCAAAAGCAUUAUCACUUCUGACAGUUUGUACAGUGGCAUUAAAUUGUGUUUUGACCAUACAUAUAAAGGACUUGAUAAGGCUGAAAGCAUUACUUUUAGACCCCAGUAAAUGUGUCCAGGUUGCUCUAGAGAAAUCAUCAACUAUAGUAAGAAAAUAUUUACAACCAGAAGAAGUAGGGGUAUGAUAAGGGCCCCAAGUAUCCACAUGAAUAAGCUGGAAUGGCCUACAAGUACUGAUGGAACUGUCAGGAAAAGGUAAUCUAGUUUGCCUAGCCAUGGGACAAACAGAACAGGGAAAAGGUUGUUUAGAAGCAAAAGGGAAAGAUAAAGCAAAAAUAUGUUUCAUGUGUGCAAAAGGAAUGUGAGCCAGUCUUAAAUGCCAAAUGUAGUUCAUGUCAUUAUCAUCAAAUUUAUUAUGACAAGUAGAACUGUUUACAUUGGAAGAUAAAGCAACAAGAUUUAGAUCAGAAGAAACAAUCAAGAUUACAAGAAUCUUUAUUAGAGCAUACAGAAUUGAAAGAAGAGCAAUUAACAGAAGAAGAUGAAGGGGGCACCCAAGCAAAUUUGUACAUACCAGCCUCCUCUUUACCAAGAUCCAGAGGCAUCUUCAGAGAAGGGGCCUGUAAAAUGUGAAGGAAACAAGAAGUUGCAGUAAAUAGAACAAUACAGUGCAACUAUUUCACCAACUUGUGGACAGAAAUCAAAUUGUGUUUGAAAGAAGGAACAAACAGUACAUUAUGAAGAGUAAUGGAAGGAGUUAAAGCAAAAAGUUACUUUUAUUUUGUACCCAUUAGGAAGGGUAACAAGAUAAGGUACAAGUAAAGCGUGUGAAGAAAACCCUAGCUUCGUUGUCAGGAAACCCUAGCUUGCAGAAAAAACCCGGUGGAAUCAGGCACAAGAGGUGUCGGAAAAUCACCCUAACACCUCGUUGGAAGAAUCGUCAACAAAUGUCAUAUGGUCAGAAGCUCCAGAAUCUAUUAUCCAGGAAACAAAAGCAAUAUGAGUAGGCAAGCAGAGUUUGGAAUUAGAAACAGGACUCUUAGUAAGAAUAGUACCAGCAAAGUUGGCAGCACAUAUAGUAGGGGAUGGCUGAGUAGGAGAGGUCUGAGCAGUGGAUUCACCCAAAUUGGACUGUUGGAGCAGAUUCAUCAACUGAUCAUAAUGGUGUCUGCUCAACCCAUGAAUAGCAGAAUUAUGUCCAUCCACAUGCUGGACAGACCCUCAGUACGAAUUCCAGAUGCAGGAGAAUUAUGGCCAGCAGAAUAAGGAGAGGAUGUGAAGUCAACAACAAUACUGACAUGAGCAGCAGUGGGUCUCUUGCCUUUGUUAAAACCUGAUGCUUUGAGGAAAACCAUGAAGUUUGUAGCACUUAUCAAUUAAGUGUCCAGACUUCUUGCAAUAUCUACAUAAGAGGGGUCCUCUGGACUGAUCAAAAGUGACUUUCUGGGCAUACUGUCUGGGAGGAGGAGAGUUGAGCAAGGGAGCUGGACUGAAGGAAGGUGUGGAAGGUUUAUGUGUAUUAACAUUGAAGGACAUAGAAUCAGGAUUGAACUGGGAGACAGACUGAACUUGUCUCUGUUUUUCAUCAUUAAGGAGAAUGUUAUAGACGAGGGGUCCUCUGGACUGAUCAAAACUAACUCUUUGGGCAUACUGUCUGGGAGGAGGAGAGUUGAGCAAGGGAGAUGGACUGAAGGAAGGUGUGGUGGAAGGUUUAUGUGUAUUAACAUUGAAGGACAUAGAAUCAGGAUUGAACUGGGAGACAGACUGAACUUGUCUCUGUUUUUCAUCAUUAAGGAGAAUGUUAUAGACACUGUCAAGACUAGGAGGAGGUUGCAUCAUUAACAAGUUGCUCCUUACCCCCAUAUAUGUCUCAUUAAGACCCAUGAGGAAUUGAAAC
rnacentral:lncRNA from 1 species